rnacentral:rRNA from 1 species
UGGGGAAUAUUGCACAAUGGGGGAAACCCUGAUGCAGCGACGCCGCGUGAACGAAGAAGGUAUUCGUAUCGUAAAGUUCUGUCCUAUGGGAAGAUAAUGACAGUACCAUAGAAGAAAGCCACGGCUAACUACGUGCCAGCAGCCGCGGUAAUACGUAGGUGGCAAGCGUUGUCCGGAUUUAUUGGGCGUAAAGCGAGCGCAGGCGGUUUCUUAAGUCUGAUGUGAAAGCCCCCGGCUCAACCGGGGAGGGUCAUUGGAAACUGGGAGACUUGAGUGCAGAAGAGGAGAGUGGAAUUCCAUGUGUAGCGGUGAAAUGCGUAGAUAUAUGGAGGAACACCAGUGGCGAAGGCGGCUCUCUGGACAAAGACUGACGCUCAGGUGCGAAAGCGUGGGGAGCAAACAGG